rnacentral:rRNA from 1 species
GACGUAGGUGGCGGACGUUAUCCGGAAUUAUUGGGCGGAAAGGAUGCGUAGAUGGUGUAGUAAGUUAUCGGUGGCAAAUCGAGGCUCAACCUCGUGGAAGUCGGUAAUACUGCUAUGCUAGAGGAUAGGAGAGGUUAACGGAACUCCCUGUGGAGCGGUGAAAUGCGUAGAUAUAGGGAAGAACACCAAUCAGGCGAAGGCAGUUAACUAUUCUAUUCCUGACAUUGAGGCAUGAAAGCGUGGGGAGCAAAACGG